CCCUUAAAUUGAUUUCGUCCGUUUUAAAGGACAUAGUAUUUACACACAUGCUGGCGCUGUUAUGGCAGACCUAAGCUUCGCUAAUCGGUAUAUUGGGAAGAGACUAGCUAUGUCCUUCGCGUACAUGCAUGUUUUUUUACCAAAGCCAUGUACAGUCGCGAAUGGUGACCAUUUGAAAAUUGCAAAAAACGGAUCUCUUGACUCUUUUGAUAAAAUUGAUAAUAUCUGUAAGUAUUUUGGCUAUUUUGCUUAUAAUGUUAUAUUAUUAGUUAGAAUACGAUUGUAAGUAUAGUAUUUUGACAUAAUUUUGACAUAUUUUACAAUAUUUGGUAUACAAAUAUUCGUUUAUAUACGAUGUCCCAUAAAACGGACGUUGACAACUUGGAGUAUAUACUAGGGUAUUCUUCACUUGUCCUAUGUAACGGACGUUGCCAAUAAGGCCCUCCAUUUUCAACGGAAUAAUUUUGAUAUAUUUUUCUCUAUUUUUAUUAUAUUUUACAGGAGCAUGACUUGGCAAUCAAUAAAAAAUUACCUCACUACCUCUGGCGGAAGCUGAAGAGUCUGGCGUUGAGUUGAGAUGUCGAUUUCGAAGGAAAUGUAGACCUACAGGAGUGAUUUCACUAUGAUAACAGUGUCAAUCAUUUACCCCCAGCACCAUACCUUCGGAAUUAUACGACAUAUUGAUUUGAGACACAAUGAAGAUUCAAAAAGUCAGAAUUUUUACCAUCAACAAAAUAUUAUUGCUGCAGAAUUACAGCCAUUACAUGAGGCAGACAAUGGAUAUAAUAUAUGCCAAAGAAUCCAAAAAAAGCGAUUUAAAUUUCCUGUUCGUUUUGGUACUUCAGGCAUGGUAUACGACUUCUUUGCAUACGAUGAAGCAAACACAUUUCAAACUGUACAAUUUAGUGAAUGGGAAGAGGACUUUCUUGGUGUAUUAGAUAAGUUCUCAGGCUAUGUAAUACUAUUUCUAUUCCAAUUCUUAGCAUAUUCUUAGGCUGUGAUUUUUAGUACUGUCGUUUUUUAAAAUCCAUUAUUUUUAACGAUAUCGUUAAAGUUUUAACCAACAUUUUAAGACAUACGUUUGAAAAGCUUAUUCUAGAUCCUCCAUAAUUAUAAUUUGAUAAUAAUUUUGAAUUACAGAGUUGAAAAUGUGCAUUGUAGUCAUGUACCACGGUUGCAGGAAUAAUGUACAAUGUCCGUUAUAUGUGACGGUUCGAACAUGUACAUAUAAUUGGCAAUGUCCGUUUUAUGUGACAUAGUGAAAACAAUAGAAAAAAUUAAAAUUUUUAA